rnacentral:sRNA from 1 species
UUUCUUCUUCUUCUUCUGCU